AUGUGUUUGAACCAAGCGUCCUGCUACCAGAGAGGCAGAGCCAGCAUCUGUGUGUGUCCAACUGGAUACACUGGACAGCGCUGCGAGACAGAUGUUGAUGAAUGCCAGUCCAACCCAUGUCGUAAUGGAGCCACCUGUAUGGACGGAGUCAACUCCUUCACCUGUUUGUGUCUACCCAGCUACACAGGAGGGCUCUGUGAACAAGGAACAAGACCAGGAACCAGACCUGGAACAAGACCAGGAACCAGACCAGGAACCAUGCCAACCCAGGCAGGAGAGACUGUAGGAGACCACCCUGGACAUCACACAGACUCUUCUACACAGCACAGAGACCACUCCCGCCAACCUGCCACACAGGAGAAAGAUCUCUCCACUCAUACUAAAGCUCAGACC